AAUUCCUACGGGACGCAGCAGUGAGGAAUAUUGGUCAAUGGGCGAGAGCCUGAACCAGCCAAGUCGCGUGAAGGAUGACGGCCCUAUGGGUUGUAAACUUCUUUUGUCAGGGAGCAAUUGAGUCCACGUGUGGGCUUAGCGAGAGUACCUGAAGAAAAAGCAUCGGCUAACUCCGUGCCAGCAGCCGCGGUAAUACGGAGGAUGCGAGCGUUAUCCGGAUUUAUUGGGUUUAAAGGGUGCGUAGGCGGUCCGGAAAGUCAGCGGUAAAAGCCCGGGGCUCAACCCCGGCGAGCCGUUGAAACUGU
rnacentral:rRNA from 1 species